CCUGUACGACUACGUUAAAAAUAUUUUCACAUGUAACUUGAGGAUGGAUUUGACAACUUUAAGCGUUUUACCGCUAGGCUACAUCGUUUAACCAGAGUCGCAACAUCAUAUGGUCACCUUCUUCACCUGUGUCCCUCUGGCUGAGAAGCUACUUCAGAAGAACCUGACCAGAUACAAACGCGUCAAGGGGAAAGCCCAGAAAACAUCACAUCCGUUUCACACUGAGGGGGUACCAAACCACUAGACACAAUGCUGAAGGGCUGCUGUGUCCCCUUUGUCACUACAAAUAAACUGAGAAAUCAAAAUCUAAAGUUUUAGAUUUUACCCAACCGAAGCACAGAGCCGGGUAGGAGAGCUGGGAGGCGGGAGGACGAGCUUGGUCGCCAGUGGGAUACAAUUCAAACACCUGUAGGCCUAGAUCAGCACUGCAGCACUGCAGCACAGUUAACUUUAAUGUUAUUUUCACCUUAUCUAAACAGUGUUAGACUUUUCAGGGGGACCAUGUAGGUAGGGUUAUUAGUUAAAAGCCAAGUGAAAUACACGUUUUGCAAACUAAGCUUUCUUCACAACAUUUUUCAACCGUUAAAGGGAUACACCUGUUGAAACAUGAAUCUGUAUUGAUAUUGGGUCAUAUAUGUAGUAGAAAUUUGAAAUCAAUUUUGGUUGGUGCCUUCUUGGCCGAGAAAAGGCAGAAAGUGUCUUUUUGGCUCAUGUGGAUGAAAGACACCAAAUCCCAGAAUGCACAGCAUCGCAGGCCACUCCCACUAAGGUCCUCUAUUUCAGAAUCAGAAAUACUUUAUUAAUCCCAGCGGGAAAUUCGAUCGUUACAGUUUCUCCAAAAUAUACAAUAUAGCAGUAGAAAUAUAGUAACAAAAACAUUUACAGACAUAUUUACUUCAACACAUGAGGCCGUUUCCUCAACUGAUUCCAAGAUUUCUUCCAGAAUUGAUCUUGGAAAUUCCUGGCAGAAAACAGACUCUAUGUCUGUGUCCAUAGGCAAACAGUGAGAGCACCGACACUACCAGUCCGCCCCAGCUCGAGCCGGCCCCGGCUCCUCGUCCUCACCGCCGUCGAAAAUAUGAGGAACUAGCGUUGUAGUUUCACACCGCUAACCGCAACAGCUUCCAGUGACGCAAUAUGAUGAUAUCUGCGUCACUGGAAGCUCCUUUUCAGACUUAGAAAUACAAAGAUUUCCCAUCUCAGGGGAAAAUGAGGGCGGGAUGCACGACCAUUCAAAAAUACUGCCAGUUUACUACUGAUACAAAGCUUAAUACAAAUGAGUGAAGUAUCCCUUUAACCAAUAUACAAUCUUAGCCUAAUGAGCAGUUGCAUGGGAUUAACUAAAACGUGCUAUUUUAUUCAAUGUUAAUGAUUUUCUGGUACAGUGUAACUGAUAUUUUAAGUGUAAUUGAUCACAUCUAUAACAUGUGAUAUUGUCUCUUUUUGGGUGAUUCAACCAGGUAGAAAAAGAUAUCUGGGAAUUCAGGGCGUUUAGUUGGAUCAUUGUCCAGAUUUUUAAACCGUAUUGGACAACAAUUUCAAUACAGUAUUUCUUUGUCAAUCGACAGUAAUGUAUCAGUGUGUGACAUGACAGCUUGUAAACGCUAGCAUUAGAGUUUAAAAUCUGUGUGUUUGUAUUAUUGGUGGCAGGGGGAAAGGAUUAUUUUCCCCGACAGGCAACCUGCCCUAACUCUGACCCGACGCCAACUGUACCUAUUGUUGAGAUCUCUUUGCCAGAACAAGCCAGACAUACAGCCUGUCAUGAAGUCAUCCUAAAGGACAGAUAUACAAGCUCAGAAUUUGGAUUCAAUGGCAGCAUGACAGCUAGCUAUGUGCUGAAGAAGGUAAAGGCUGUUGUCCCCCUGAGCACCAUGCAUGAUAACAAGGCAGUGGAUGACAACAGUGUGAAGAAGAAACAUGAAGUGAUCCAGCACUGUGACAAAAGAAGUGGACUCAAUGGAUCAGGUGGUACGCACCUACUUGUGUAUGCGGAGAUCACAAAGAUGGCCCAUGGUGCUUCACUGCUCAACACCCUUCAUACAUGGGUGGUGUGACCAAUGCACGGCGGCUAUUCAUGAAGGAUCUUGGCAAAGCUGGUCAUAAACGUAUUAAGAGACGCAUGGAGGGUAGGCCCCAUCUCCAAAAGCAUAUCACAGAGUCAAAGAGAAAGUGUGGGCUAAAACAACUAAACAAAGUCACUACCCAGCCACAGGAGACAUCAGACAGGAGGGCAGUUCAAUAACAGUGAUAUUGUUUGUUAUGUGUGACAAAGUGACAAAUAAACAUAUUUCAAACAUUAA